rnacentral:snRNA from 1 species
AGUCAACCAAUGCACUCAAAUAUAAAACUAGAACGGAGAAGAUUAGCAUGGCCCCCGGGCAACAACGACUAUACAAGUCGAGAAAUGCUCCAAUUAUAA